rnacentral:rRNA from 1 species
UUGCUUCUCUGAUGUUAGCGGCGGACGGGUGAGUAACACGUGGAUAACCUACCUAUAAGACUGGGAUAACUUCGGGAAACCGGAGCUAAUACCGGAUAAUAUUUUGAACCGCAUGGUUCAAAAGUGAAAGACGGUCUUGCUGUCACUUAUAGAUGGAUCCGCGCUGCAUUAGCUAGUUGGUAAGGUAACGGCUUACCAAGGCAACGAUGCAUAGCCGACCUGAGAGGGUGAUCGGCCACACUGGAACUGAGACACGGUCCAGACUCCUACGGGAGGCAGCAGUAGGGAAUCUUCCGCAAUGGGCGAAAGCCUGACGGAGCAACGCCGCGUGAGUGAUGAAGGUCUUCGGAUCGUAAAACUCUGUUAUUAGGGAAGAACAUAUGUGUAAGUAACUGUGCACAUCUUGACGGUACCUAAUCAGAAAGCCACGGCUAACUACGUGCCAGCAGCCGCGGUAAUACGUAGGUGGCAAGCGUUAUCCGGAAUUAUUGGGCGUAAAGCGCGCGUAGGCGGUUUUUUAAGUCUGAUGUGAAAGCCCACGGCUCAACCGUGGAGGGUCAUUGGAAACUGGAAAACUUGAGUGCAGAAGAGGAAAGUGGAAUUCCAUGUGUAGCGGUGAAAUGCGCAGAGAUAUGGAGGAACACCAGUGGCGAAGGCGACUUUCUGGUCUGUAACUGACGCUGAUGUGCGAAAGCGUGGGGAUCAAACAGGAUUAGAUACCCUGGUAGUCCACGCCGUAAACGAUGAGUGCUAAGUGUUAGGGGGUUUCCGCCCCUUAGUGCUGCAGCUAACGCAUUAAGCACUCCGCCUGGGGAGUACGACCGCAAGGUUGAAACUCAAAGGAAUUGACGGGGACCCGCACAAGCGGUGGAGCAUGUGGUUUAAUUCGAAGCAACGCGAAGAACCUUACCAAAUCUUGACAUCCUUUGACAACUCUAGAGAUAGAGCCUUCCCCUUCGGGGGACAAAGUGACAGGUGGUGCAUGGUUGUCGUCAGCUCGUGUCGUGAGAUGUUGGGUUAAGUCCCGCAACGAGCGCAACCCUUAAGCUUAGUUGCCAUCAUUAAGUUGGGCACUCUAAGUUGACUGCCGGUGACAAACCGGAGGAAGGUGGGGAUGACGUCAAAUCAUCAUGCCCCUUAUGAUUUGGGCUACACACGUGCUACAAUGGACAAUACAAAGGGCAGCGAAACCGCGAGGUCAAGCAAAUCCCAUAAAGUUGUUCUCAGUUCGGAUUGUAGUCUGCAACUCGACUACAUGAAGCUGGAAUCGCUAGUAAUCGUAGAUCAGCAUGCUACGGUGAAUACGUUCCCGGGUCUUGUACACACCGCCCGUCACACCACGAGAGUUUGUAACACCCGCAGCCGGUGGAGUAACCUUUUAGGAGCUAGCCGUCGAAGGUGGGACAAAUGAUUGGGGUGAAGUCGUAACAAGGUAGCCGUAUCGGAAGGUGCGGCUGGAUCACCUCCUUU